UAUUGCCUUUUGUAUAUAAACAUGUGGAUAUAUGUAACUCAUACAUUACACAAACAAACACAAACACACCAGAGCCAGAGCUAUAGGGUGGAGCUAUAAACCGUGGCUCUACUUUUGUACACAAAACUGGCUCCACAUGUUCUUCCAAUCCUGCAACUGCGUUUUUCGCAUCCCCGUUUGAUUGCAAGAACGGGACUGCUAAGCAAGCUAAGAUUUCAAUGGCAUAUUCCUUCAUACAUAGGCCAUUGAGCGACGAGGCACUCCGCGUCAGCACUCCCGUGGUGGUCACUUGCAAUGACCAGAGACGGGAGGUCUCCGUUGCCCAGAACAUCGCUAACAAGGAAAUUAACCGCACUGUUGCAUUCGACAAGGUGCUAGGUCCAAAGUCUCAACAGCAGGACGUCUUCAACCAUGCUGUUGUGCCACUUGUCAGUGAGGUUUUGGACGGUUAUAAUUGCACAAUAUUUGCAUAUGGCCAGACUGGAACUGGCAAAACAUACACAAUGGAAGGAGGAGGGGGCAAAGCACUAGUGCAGUUUUUAUUAUAUAUAUUCACAUGCUACACAUGUUUCUGAAUUCUGAUGCAGUUAGUUUGCUGCUUCAACUGACGCCAUAACUCUACUCCAUUCCUGUAGAAUGAUGACCUCCCGACUGAUGUCGGUGUCAUUCCAAGUGCUGUUAAGCGCAUAUUUGACAUCCUCGAGGCACAGAGUGCAGAGUACAACAUGAAGGUUUCUUUUCUUGAGCUGUACAAUGCGGAGCUCACUGAUCUUCUAGCUCUACAAUGAGAUUGCAAGAACGGGACUGCUAAGCAAGCUAAGAUUUCAAUGGCCUAUUCCUUCAUACAUAGGCCAUUGAACCGGAAGAUUUUGUCGGUAUUCGGUAACUAUAGGAUCAUGUGGUUGUUGGUCAAGUUGGACCAAUUAUGCUGGCUCAUUUGUUGGAUGUUUUGACAAGUCGAUUCUAGCUUCCUUAUGAUCUAUGUUAGAUUUGGUAAUGCAUACCAGUUAGUAAAGCAUUUAUGAUGUACAUUGUUAUACAUAGAGCUUUACAUCGCAAAAAUUAUCAGUUUCCCUCAGUUACGAUAUGCAUUUAGUAUUUAUCGUAUUUUGAAAAUUAAUAACCUAUUAUACUAUGAUAGGCUUGACUUCAUGUUUAUCUAAAUAACUUAGUGCGAUGAUGCUUGAAAACGUAUCUUCCAUUUUGCCAGAUCAAUGAAUAAAAGGAUUAUUCAUAUCAAUGUCCAUGCACCUUCUCAGAAAAUCCUUUUGUGAUGUUGGUGUUGGUUUCCUGGACCUGUACUAGUACAUAUGCUAAGUCAUCCACAAAUCUGACCCAGAAUUGUACCGUUCUUUUUAUAGCCAUGUUUGGUACUUGUUUGAGUGCUCCAUAGUUCGCAAGUUUGUUUUGUUAUGAUGUAUUUUGACAUUUGAAUCUCAUACAUGCUUAGGAACUACUGAUUUGAAUUUAUGGGCUAACAGUUCCAGCAUUUCAAAUAGAAAGUAUGCUAUAUCAAAUAAGUUGAUGAUACUUUUGGUACUGGAGAAUGAAGCUAGACUGCAUUUGAUAUUAGAAGUCUGUUUGUCUGAUUGUAGUUGAUUAUAAAGAAGCUAGAGCUGAUAUUAGAAGUCUGAUAUUAGAAGUAUGUUUGUCUGAUUGCAGUUGAUUAUAAAGAAGCUAGAGCUUCCAGUCAAGUUUGAUAUUAGAAGUCUUCUUUUGCUUUUACAUUUUGUUUUUUUAUGAUCUUGAUCUUAGAAGCAGGGUUUUGGUACCAGCUUAACUAAUUUUCUGAAGUUUUAUGUUCUUACUUUAAUUAUAACUAGAUGAUUGCAAUAAGAUAUCAUGAGGCGCGCCGAGGAGAACAGGGACCUCCUCUCCGCCUCCUCCUUCGACAGGCAGCUGCUGCGGAAGGAGGUGGUGAGGAGGGUCAAGGCCGCGGUGGCGGGACGUGAGUGAAGUGAGCUUUGUCGAGCCUAUAUGUGGAGGUCGGUCGUGAAGCUGGGACUAGGACAAGGGCGAGCUGAAGGCUAGAAGCUGUAAAUGCACCCUUCAAGAGUCUUCAUAGGCCAAGUCUCUACGUAGGUGUUGACAAAAAGGAAAAUUCAUGACAAUGCGUUUAUAUGAGAUUGUCCAAUAUCGAAACCAAGAAUACAUGGGGGACAACUGUAUUCGAUUUUUGUUUCUCUUUCGUGGAGUAUUACUGAAAUAUAUGCUUCCAAUGUUGAAGUUUCC